UACGAAGGGGGCUAGCGUUGCUCGGAAUGACUGGGCGUAAAGGGCGCGUAGGCGGUUCGCGCAGUCAGAUGUGAAAUUCCUGGGCUCAACCUGGGGGCUGCAUUUGAUACGUGUGGGCUUGAGUGGGGAAGAGGGUCGUGGAAUUCCCAGUGUAGAGGUGAAAUUCGUAGAUAUUGGGAAGAACACCGGUGGCGAAGGCGGGUCUCUGGGCAGUAACUGACGCUGAGGAGCGAAAGCGUGGGGAGCGAACAGG
rnacentral:rRNA from 1 species